AGUCGAGGGGCAGCAUGAUUGAAGCUUGCUUCAAUUGAUGGCGACCGGCGCACGGGUGAGUAACGCGUAUCCAACCUUCCGUACACUCAGGGAUAGCCUUUCGAAAGAAAGAUUAAUACCUGAUGGUAUGAUGAGAUUGCAUGGUAGCAUCAUUAAAGAUUUAUCGGUGUACGAUGGGGAUGCGUUCCAUUAGGUAGUAGGCGGGGUAACGGCCCACCUAGCCUACGAUGGAUAGGGGUUCUGAGAGGAAGGUCCCCCACAUUGGAACUGAGACACGGUCCAAACUCCUACGGGAGGCAGCAGUGAGGAAUAUUGGUCAAUGGACGAGAGUCUGAACCAGCCAAGUAGCGUGAAGGAUGAAGGUCUUACGGAUUGUAAACUUCUUUUAUAAGGGAAUAAAACCUCCCACGUGUGGGAGCUUGUAUGUACCUUAUGAAUAAGCAUCGGCUAACUCCGUGCCAGCAGCCGCGGUAAUACGGAGGAUGCGAGCGUUAUCCGGAUUUAUUGGGUUUAAAGGGAGCGCAGACGGGUCGUUAAGUCAGCUGUGAAAGUUUGGGGCUCAACCUUAAAAUUGCAGUUGAUACUGGCGUCCUUGAGUGCGGUUGAGGUGUGCGGAAUUCGUGGUGUAGCGGUGAAAUGCUUAGAUAUCACGAAGAACUCCGAUUGCGAAGGCAGCACACUAAGCCGUAACUGACGUUCAUGCUCGAAAGUGUGGGUAUCAAACAGGAUUAGAUACCCUGGUAGUCCACACGGUAAACGAUGGAUACUCGCUGUUGGCGAUAUACGGUCAGCGGCUUAGCGAAAGCGUUAAGUAUCC
rnacentral:rRNA from 1 species